AUGCAGGAGUCCCGCAUUGUCCACCGCGACAUCAAGCCCGGCAACGUCCUUGUCCUGGAAGGCGGGGAAGUCCUGAAGAUCUGCGACUUCGGACUGGCCAUGUCGGAAACCGAGCAGCCGCCGCGCAAGCAGGCCGGCACGAAGCUGUACCGCACGCCGGAGAUGCUCAUGGGGAAGCCGGACUACGACGCGCUCACGGACGCGUGGUCGCUGGUCGCUUCAUGGCGGAGCUCGUCAGCGGCGACAUACUGCUGCGGCGCGUGCCACUGCCCCGAGGAGUUCGCCUAUCUCUGGACUAUCUUCGGGGUGCUGGGAACGCCGAACGACGCAACAUGGCCGGGGUUCACCUCCCUGCCGUUCGCUUCCACGAUGCCGCCGCUGAAACUGGAGCAGCGCAGCCGGUCAUGA
rnacentral:rRNA from 1 species